CCAUUAAGUGGUGACAUUCUACUUUACUCAUCCAUAAGUACUUUUUUCCUAUCCUGUUCCACACUCCGUUUUUUGCUCUUUUUUAUUAUCUUUCUCUACUGUUUUUUCCUAUUUUCCCAUUUGUUUUUUCUUUAUUCUGUCAGUGCUAUCAAGAUACAUAGAUUUUUCAGCCCCACUAAUUGGAACUAAAAGUUUGAUGACUCCAUCCCUAAUCUAAAUUAUUAAUUUGAAAAAUUCAUUUAAUAUUUAUUGGAUUUCUACUAUUCAGUAGUAUCCUAGGCCCUAUAGGUAAAGCAUACAAAGUGAAGUCCUACUUUCAAGGAAGCUUACAUUCUCUACACCUGUCCUGAUACAAUAGCCACUAGCCACAUGUAACUGUUCAGCCCUUGAAAUGUAGCUAGUCUAAAAUGAGAUCUGCUUUGAGUAUAAAAUACACAGCAAAAUUUAAAGAUAGUACAACAAAAUCAUAUUUCUUUAAUAAUUUUAUAGUUAUAUAUUUAUAUUAUAUUUUGUUGUAUUGUAGUAAAUAUAUUAUUUAAAUGAAUUUUACCUGUUUCUUUUACAUCUUAAUUGUGGCUUGAAGUAUGACAUUUUUUUUUUGAAAAUGAAGUGUUUUUUCAUGUACUCUUUCUCUCGAUUUUUGUUUAGAUCACAAGAAACUUUAGAACUGUAUUUUUUAAUGGAGAAACUCAAAUGCAGAGGCAUAGGAUUGUUUGUCUAAGAUAACUUAGGGAAUUGAUGCCAAAGAUACUAAAUAAAUUGAAAUCUCUUGACUUUUAAACACAUACCUAUGUAUAAUAAGCCACAAGGAAUGACAACUGUUUUUCUGUAUGAAAAACAGAGUCACUAAAAUUUUCAGAGAAAUAACAUAGGUUAAUUAGAUGAAUGUUUUAGCCUCCUUCCACAAACCCUUCUACUAAGGCAGGCUGAAUAUUGCUGAUGUCAGUCUCUCUGCUGAUGUCACCACUAACUGGCAUAAAUGUGAUAUCUUGAACAAUAGAGUGUAAUUAACAAUGUUAAGUGUGAUGAUUUUAAAUAAAUGAAAAUGCAAAUUGAAAAGAUAUUAAAAUAGUGUCAGUAUUAAUAAUUGUGGCUAUAACAAAAAGAAUGGUGAAUUUUAAUUUUGGACAUGAUUAAAAAUUAAUAUAGUAAGAGACUUUAAGACAAUAAAGACAUUUAACUGAGAGGAAGUUUAUUAGAGAAAUCAGUUUGCUGACAUAGAAAAAUGUAUCCACUUCUAUGGAAUCAGUCACAUUAUGCCUUAACAUAUGGGGAAUUAGAUCCUUAAGGUUUUACUUCAAGUAUGGAACUCUUAACAUUUGAAACACUGUUCAACAUGUUGCUGUAUGAGUUUAGUAUUUUAUAAGCUUUUUUCCUUUUUAUUAUAUAAGAUGCUAAAGUAUUCUGAGAUUCAAUAUGUUGUAUAAGUUUUUAGAUUUCUCACUUUUCAUCAGCAACACAACCGUCAUAAUUUUAUUGUGAAAAAUAUCAUUAACAACACAACUAUCAUAAUUUUAUUCUGAAGAAAAAGCGUUGAGUCUGUGAUUCCUUGAAUAAUACCCUCAAAACUUAUAAUGGAAUUAAAAAUUAUGACUCAGAUUAUCUUAAGUAGAUGAGUUACAAAUUGAAUUAGUUAACUUGUUAAAAUUACUAUUGAAGGAAUACCCAUUCACUUCCUAUACCAGGGAAUGGUAACAAAUAUUUAUCGACUUCCUGUUGUGCACAGUCACUAUACCAGAUACUUUUUAUAAACAUGUCAUUCUAGUCUUUUAGUCUCACGAUAAUUUCACAAAGUAAUUGUCGUCUUUUUUUAACGUUGAAAAAGAACUAAAACUGAAGCUAUCUGAUUUGUUUUUGCUAAAGUUCCUGGCAAGUAUUUUUAUAAAUAUUCAAUAAAUAUUUAUUGAAUAAGGAGUUCCCAUCGUGGCUCAGUGGAAUAAAAUCUGACUAGUAUCCAUGAGGAUACAGGUUCGAUCCCUAGCCUGUCAGUGGGUUAAAGAUCUGGCAUUGUCAUGAUCUGUGGUGUAGGUCGCAGACAUGGCUUGGAGCUGACAUUGCUGUGGCUGUGGCAUAGGCUGGUGGCUACAACUCCUAUUUGACUCCUAACCUUUGAACCUCCAUGUGCUGCGGGUGCAGCCCUAAAAAGAGAGAAAAAAAUUUAUUGAAUAGGAGUUCCCAUUGCGGCACAGCAGAAGAGACUCUGACUAGGAUCCAUGCGGUUGCUCGGUGGGUUAGGGAUCCGUCGUUGCUGUGAGCUGUGGUGUAGGUCACAGGCGCAGCUCAAAUCCUGUGUUGCUGUGGCUCUGGCAUAGGCUGGCAGCAACAGCUCAGAUUAGACCCGCAGCCUGGGAACCUCCAUAUGCUGCAGGUGUGGCC
rnacentral:lncRNA from 1 species